CUACCUCCCUUUCGCCGUCGCUUCCAACAUCGGACGCAGCCGCCACUUCCGCCGCCCCUUCCGUUGCCCCUUCCGUCGCCGUCCUUGCCCGGUGCGGCGAUGCCGCCCCGCACCACCAGGAGCCAGGACCAACACGCCGGCGCCUCCCCGUACGACAGCGCCACCGCUGAUGCGUGCUGGACCAGCGACCCCAGUCGUCCAGGGGACGCCAUCGCCACCGCCUGGGAUCCAGCAUCCAGCUACUUCAGCCAUCUCUGCAGUUGCCUCCCUCCUUCCCACACUCCAGACAGGACGACCGACGGUCGCCUCCCUCCGCUCCUGACGACAGAAGGAGCGACUGUAGCUGCAGAGAGGCUUCAGAGCAUGGUAACAUUGUCUAUCUGAAAAAUCCACGACGCACUGAUAAUCUACUUGUUCUAAGAGCUAUCUACUGGUUCAGGGAUCCACCACUUACGUGACGUGGUAGCGCCAAUUUACAAUAUAACCAUAAGAUUUUACUUCUCAAAGUAUGGGAGCUGCAUGGACCACACCACCCUGUUCCAUUUCAUCAAUGAACCAAGAGUCUUACAGCGGCGGGGCGUCAGGAGAUGUUUUAUGGGCCGGCCCGGGAGGCGCUGCUGGCACCAGAAACACGAACAGGCGCCUGCACCGCCGUAUAGGAGCUCCCCAAAACUAUUGCCAUAUAUUUGCUUCGUCCAAUAAAAAUGCCAGACUAUAUAUUAAAAAACUAGAUGUUGGUUAGCUCUUGAACAAAAAAAGAACGGUUAGCUUAACCAUGAGUUGGACAAAGUUAUUAGCAAGGAAAAUUACAAGAAUGGCUACCAUCCAGACAAAACCUAUAGUUAAACUGUGUUAAAAAAAGAAGACACAUCCUAUGAUUGGGACAAAAAAACUUGAUACUCCCUCCGUCCCAAAAAUUUCUUGUCUUAGGUUUUUCUAGAUAUGAAUGUAUCUAGUCACGUUUUAUUAUUUUGAUACAUCCAUUUCUAGACAAAUCUAAGACAAGAAUUUUAGGACGGAGGGAGUACAAAAGUGUGACUCGUCUACUAUAAAAUUAAAAUGAAAACAAAAAUAUAUGUUUAAUAGCAGUUAGUUGCUUUUUGUUUGGGUGACACAUAAAACAUGCCCAACGUGAUGGGACACAUGUGCAUCUAUGCAAUUAGCCCCUAGCUUGAUUCUUGUUUUUUGUCCAGUUUUGCAUGUCGUUGUAAAAAAGGUUGACAUGUCCUCUCCAAACUAGAUUUAUCCAGGACUUA